GACGAACGCUGGCGGCAUGCCUAACACAUGCAAGUCGAACGGAACUUGAUGAAUGAAGUUUUCGGAUGGAUUUUAGCAAGUUUAGUGGCGGACGGGUGAGUAACGCGUGAGCAACCUGCCUUUCAGAGGGGGACAACAGUUGGAAACGACUGCUAAUACCGCAUAAUGUAUCGGGAUCGCAUGAUCCUGAUACCAAAGAUUUUAUCGCUGAAAGAUGGGCUCGCGUACGAUUAGAUAGUUGGUGAGGUAACGGCUCACCAAGUCGACGAUCGUUAGCCGGACUGAGAGGUUGAACGGCCACAUUGGGACUGAGACACGGCCCAGACUCCUACGGGAGGCAGCAGUGAGGAAUAUUGGGCAAUGGGCGCAAGCCUGACCCAGCAAUGCCGCGUGAAGGAAGACGGUUUUCGGAUUGUAAACUUCUUUUAAGAGGGACGAUAAUGACGGUACCUCUUGAAUAAGCCACGGCUAACUACGUGCCAGCCGCCGCGGUAAAAC
rnacentral:rRNA from 1 species